rnacentral:rRNA from 1 species
GAUGAACGCUGGCGGCGUGCCUAAUACAUGCAAGUCGAGCGAACAGAUAAGGAGCUUGCUCCCUUGACGUUAGCGGCGGACGGGUGAGUAACACGUGGGUAACCUACCUAUAAGACUGGAAUAACUCCGGGAAACCGGGGCUAAUGCCGGAUAACAUUUAGAACCGCAUGGUUCUAAAGUGAAAGAUGGUUUUGCUAUCACUUAUAGAUGGACCCGCGCCGUAUUAGCUAGUUGGUAAGGUAACGGCUUACCAAGGCAACGAUACGUAGCCGACCUGAGAGGGUGAUCGGCCACACUGGAACUGAGACACGGUCCAGACUCCUACGGGAGGCAGCAGUAGGGAAUCUUCCGCAAUGGGUGAAAGCCUGACGGAGCAACGCCGCGUGAGUGAUGAAGGUCUUCGGAUCGUAAAACUCUGUUAUUAGGGAAGAACAAAUGUGUAAGUAACUGUGCACGUCUUGACGGUACCUAAUCAGAAAGCCACGGCUAACUACGUG